CAUGGGGGGCGGGUCCCCUGACCUCGCUGGAGGCGAAAGGGCGGAUCGGAUUUGGAACCUGCGGGAGGCUUGGUCAGAAGUGGCCCCCUGCGCCGCGGGGCCCCGCGGAGGGGCCCGGCUUUGUGGAGGAUUAGAGGCUCCCGCCCUACCCUACCUGCGUGUGUGUCGGGUUGUCGAGAGGCUGAAACAUAAGUGCUCACCACAACACCCAGCACCUACCAGGCCUCUAUACAUAUUUGCCUGUCUGGAACCGGGAGCUUCCCCAGCUGAGGACCACAGUGAGAGCAGAGAAGACCCAGGAUCGUAUUUGAAACCAUAAAAGCCACAUGAAGACACUAAGAAUAACUUGCAGAAAGACAUUUUCUAUGAAUUGAACACAGAGUCCCAAAACCCAGAAAGUUCCCUGGUCUCUAUCUCAUGGGCCCGUGUCUGGGGAAGGGGGCCCGAUGUGAGGCUGGGGCCAGUGCCCAUCCUAUUUGAUCUUUAUCUUAAAUCCACUUCAAAAUGCUGUGGCUUGGUGGAUUGAAGGUUCGCCCCUUCCUGUAAUUAUUUGGUGUCUGGUAAAGUUUUUAUGAGUGUUUGUGCAAAUACAUGCAUUUGAUGUGCA
rnacentral:lncRNA from 1 species